GAUGAACGCUGGCGGCGUGCCUAAUACAUGCAAGUCGAGCGAACAGACGAGGAGCUUGCUCCUCUGACGUUAGCGGCGGACGGGUGAGUAACACGUGGAUAACCUACCUAUAAGACUGGGAUAACUUCGGGAAACCGGAGCUAAUACCGGAUAAUAUAUUGAACCGCAUGGUUCAAUAGUGAAAGACGGUUUUGCUGUCACUUAUAGAUGGAUCCGCGCCGCAUUAGCUAGUUGGUAAGGUAACGGCUUACCAAGGCAACGAUGCGUAACCGACCUGAGAGGGUGAUCGGCCACACUGGAACUGAGACACGGUCCAGACUCCUACGGGAGGCAGCAGUAGGGAAUCUUCUGCAAUGGGCGAAAGCUUGACGGAGCAACGCCGCGUGAGUGAUGAAGGUCUUCGGAUCGUAAAACUCUGUUAUUAGGGAAGAACAAAUGUGUAAGUAACUAUGCACGUCUUGACGGUACCUAAUCAGAAAGCCACGGCUAACUACGUG
rnacentral:rRNA from 1 species